UCCAACGCGGCCCACAAUGAUACCCUCCUCCUUUCCUUUCUCCUCAGCUCUUCAAAUUCAACAAUCAUAAAUUAAUUUGGUUUUUCCAUCGCAGUAAUUGAUUGUUGAGUUUUAUAGUGAUGGAAAAGGAACCAGCAAAGCUACUGAUACUAUACGCUACUCAAACCGGAAACGCUUUGGAUGCGGCGGAGCGUAUUGGCCGCGAAGCCGAGCGACGAGGCUGCGCCGCCUCUGUACGCUCUAUCGACGAUUUUGAUGCUAGUUCUUUACCUCAUGAGGACACUGUAAUUUUUGUUGUUUCCACCACAGGUCAAGGAGAUACACCAGAUUCCAUGAAGUCGUUUUGGAAGUAUCUUCUGCAGAGAAAUAUUGCUAAGAAUUGGCUGGAAGGAGUUCAUUAUGCUGUUUUCGGAUUGGGUGAUUCUGGCUACCAGAAAUAUAAUUUUGUGGCAAAGAAGCUUGACAGAAGAAUUUCAGAUCUUGGGGCAACAGCUGUUGUUGAAAGAGGUUUAGGAGACGAUCAGCAUCCUUCAGGGUAUGAAGGUGCUUUGGAUCCUUGGAUGUCAUCCUUGUGGAGCAUGCUGUAUCAGAUUAACACUAAAUUCUUCCCAAAUGGUCCAGAUUUUGUGAUAUCAGAUACAAAACUCAUCAAUCAACCUAAAUUUCAAAUAACAUAUCAUGAAAUUGACAAGGUGGACUUACAAUCAUCUUCUGCUCCAGGUCUUGAUCAUGUGCAGAUGCAAACUGGUAGAGCUCGUUCCAUGUCUCCUGGAAAAGUUUCUCAUAUCAAGAAUAUUCCUGACUGUUUUCUUAAAAUGAUCAAGAAUCAACCAUUGUGUAGAGCUGGCUGUGGAAAAGAUGUGCGCCAUUUUGAAUUUGAGUUUGUUUCAUCUAUAAUUGAAUAUGGAGUUGGUGAUGUCCUGGAAGUUCUUCCUGGUCAAGAUCCUGCUGCAGUGGAUGCUUUCCUUCAGUGUUGUAAUUUGAAUCCUGAAUCUCUCAUCACUGUGCAUCCUAUAGGGAUGGAGAGUCGUCAUCGUGAUGCUGAAGGCAAUGACUACAAAGUCCCUAUAAAAUUGAAAACUUUCGUGGAAUUGACCAUGGAUAUUGCAUCAGCUUCCCCUAGGCGCUAUUUCUUUGAGGUUAUGAGUUAUUUUGCAACAGCCGAACAUGAAAAGGAGAGACUUCAAUAUUUCGCCUCUCCUGAAGGAAGAGAUGAUCUUUACCAGUACAACCAGAAGGAACGGAGAACUGUUCUAGAGGUACUGGAAGAUUUCCCUUCUGUGCAAAUGCCAUUUGAGUGGCUGGUGCAGUUGGUUCCUCCAUUGAAAACAAGGGCUUUCUCCAUUUCUUCUUCCCCUUCAGCUCACCCCAAUCAAGUGCACUUGACUGUGAAUGUAGUUUCAUGGACAACUCCUUUUAAGAGGAAGCGAACUGGUCUCUGCUCUACGUGGCUAGCUGGACUUGAUCCACAAGAUGGUAUGGGUGUAUAUAUUCCAGCAUGGUUUUGCAAAGGCUCCCUUCCUCCUCCACCACCAUCAAUUCCCCUUGUACUCGUUGGGCCUGGUACAGGCUGCGCUCCUUUUCGUGGAUUUGUAGAGGAAAGAGCCAUGCAAGACAUGUCCGGCUCAGCUGCUCCUGUUAUGUUGUUCUUUGGUUGUCGAAAUCAGGAGAAUGACUUCUUGUACAAGGAUUUUUGGUUGUCUCAUGCACAAAACAGUGGACCGCUAUCCAUAGCAAGGGGUGGAGGGUUUUAUGUAGCCUUCUCAAGAGAUCAACCACAAAAAGUUUAUGUGCAGCAUAAGAUGCGGGAACAGAGCCAGAGGGUUUGGAAUUUGUUAGUGGAGGGGGCUUCAAUAUACGUCUCUGGUUCAUCAACCAAAAUGCCUUCAGAUGUAAUGUCAGCCUUGGAGGAAAUUAUAUCCAAAGAGGCUGGAGUUUCGAGGGAAACUGCUGUUUUGCAGCUUAGGAGAUUGGAAAAGGAUGGUAGAUACCAUGUCGAAGCAUGGUCUUGACCCCUGCUGGGUUCUUGCAUCAUGGGACAAUUCCCCACUGCAAGGAACUAAACUAGCUUCUAGUUUGUAGUGCUACUGGGACUUCAAAUUGAUGUUGAGUCGUCAGCUCCAACUUUGGAAGUCAAAACUUGCAGAAUUUCAGGGCCAAAUAGAUUACAGGUUAGUUUACAACCAAAUAGCAGCAAGUUAAUGCACUAUAUUCUCCCCCUGUAUUCCAUUUCCAUUUCUAUGACAGGCAACGGAGCUUCCUUUUGAAUCUGAACUUGGAUUAGAAGAGCAUCCAGGGUGAGUUCUUUGUUUUUGAAUGCUUUCAAGUAAUGUUUCAAUUUAAAUUGAGGUUGGCCAACAUGGUGUGACAAUGUUCCAAACAACUUACCUCCACCAAUGUCUUUUCUGAAAGAAGGUUGGGCAUAAAUCGUAGUCACACCCAAUGAACUAAAGAUUUGAGUUUUUUUUUUGGCUAUUUACAAAUUUCUGUCCUUCUUAAGUUUGGUACGAAGGAUUGUGAUGAUGAGAUUGAUCAUGGAGUUGUGAAUUAUCUGAAUUUAAAUUGAUUCAAGAUGUUUUGGAAA